rnacentral:rRNA from 1 species
GAUUAACGCUGGCGGCGUGCAUAACACAUGCAAGUCGAACGAUGAAACUUAACUGAUUUCUUCGGAAUGAUUUUAAGUGGAUUAGUGGCGGACGGGUGAGUAACGCGUGUGUAACCUGCCUUGGAGAAGGGGAUAGCCUUUGGAAACGAAGAAUAAUACCCUAUGAUAUGAUAAUAUCUCAUGAUAUUAUCAUCAAAGAUUUAUCGCUCUAAGAUGGACUUGCGUCUGAUUAGUUAGUUGGUGAGGUAACAGCUCACCAAGGCAGCGAUCAGUAGCCGGCUUGAGAGAGUGUACGGCCACAUUGGGACUGAGACACGGCCCAGACUCCUACGGGAGGCAGCAGUGGGGAAUUUUGCACAAUGGGGGAAACCCUGAUGCAGCGACGCCGCGUGAUUUAGAAGGCCUUCGGGUUGUAAAAAUCUUUUGUAUGGGAAGAAAAUGACAGUACCAUACGAAUAAGGACCGGCUAAUUACGUG